rnacentral:rRNA from 1 species
CCUACGGGAGGCAGCAGUGAGGAAUAUUGGUCAAUGGGCGCGAGCCUGAACCAGCCAAGUAGCGUGAAGGAUGACUGCCCUACGGGUUGUAAACUUCUUUUAUAAAGGAAUAAAGUGAGGCACGUGUGCCUUUUUGUAUGUACUUUAUGAAUAAGGAUCGGCUAACUCCGUGCCAGCAGCCGCGGUAAUACGGAGGAUCCGAGCGUUAGCCGGAUUUAUUGGGUUUAAAGGGAGCGUAGAUGGGUUGUUAAGUCAGUUGUGAAAGUUUGCGGCUCAACCGUAAAAUUGCAAUUGAUACUGGCAGUCUUGAGUACAGUAGAGGUAGGCGGAAUUCGUGGUGUAGCGGUGAAAUGCUUAGAUAUCACGAAGAACCCUGAUUGCGAAGGCAGCUUACUAAACUGUGACUGACAUUGAUGCUCGAAAGUGUGGGUAGCAAACAGGAUUAGAUACCCCUGUAGUC